GCGUGGUGCACUCAGCGCAGUUUUGUGCCGGUCGUUGGUUGUGUUGUACGUGUUUCUCGAGGCGGUUAUCAUAUCAUUUUGAGUUUGUAAUUUGGUAAAUCGCGUAUAUAUCGGUUGUUCAUCGACUGCAUUUAGUUAUUAUUGACUUGUAUAGCGUUUUAUUAGUAGAUAAUCGGGUGUCGCAUAUGCAAAAUGUUUAAUUUUCUUUGCGUUCGUUGUGCGUAUUGCAAGAAUGACUGCGUGCUAUUAACUUGUUUACACCGCGCGCUCGCGAGUUAUAGGUAGCAUGAAUCUGCAACGUCUUACAACGUUUAUUGUGAUAUUAUUUGGACAGUGGAUUGAAACAUGGACAAUAUUCUGCGUCGAAACGGCGAAAGAACGUUCUUGGUGAAUUCAGCGACAAAUAUUUUCCCGAGGAUCAUCUUUUUGCUACCAGGACUUGCGUCCGUAUUGUCCAUGAUCCAGAAACCUUCACGCACCGCGGGAAAGAAUGAAUUUGGAUCGUAAAACACCCACUGAUGCAUACUGUGGUGGUAAAUACACUCGAGAAUCGUCUGCCAUUCGAUGUGAUCGGAUAUUAUUGGGUUUGUUACGAUUUCAACCAAAGGGACACCUACCAGCCUGGUGGAGGGCAGCUGCGUUUCCACGGGAUGCGCUACCUCUAUAAUUUGUCGCUUAUCUUGCAAUCACUUCGCCCACACAUUAUUUUUCAAACCAGUACAAUUAAUGCACACAAGGAAGGGCACAAAACAACGUCCCGAUUUUUAAACCACGAACGCAUUCUUCACUUAUAAUUAGAAUUGUAUAUAUUUAGGUACCUUUGACAUUAACGUUGAUGAAUGCAUGUGGAAUAACAUGCAUUGUAAACUCUUUUUAACGAUACUGCCUAAGAUCUAAGAAGAGUUGAUUUAAUGGCGGAUUUUACUCAUUCAGCCGUUUGCCACAAAACGUGUACAUAUUUCAAUGUCAUUAUAAAAAAGGUAUUCAAGAGUUUACAUUGCAUUUCACUGUUAAUCGCUUCACUAGGUUUAAUGUAUUGUAUUAUUGCUUGUCGGGCUAAUGUGACAAGUUUGCAUUUUAUUUGUUGGUAUUGUAAAUAAGUUUGGUAGUUGCUGCACCGUUGUUAUCUAGCUUCGACUCGCGUACGGGGCGUCUCUAGAGUUGUCAAAUUAAACUCUCUGUGGGGUUUUAUUAGUUUGUUGCAGGAAUUCGACCUGCAACCCGCGAAAAUUUGCAUAAAGAGUAAUUUUUCACGCUUCUCCGUGAAAUGUUUGUAUUUUUUCGGGUUUUCACGCCAUCUAAGUGACUCAGUAACUUUACGGCGGCGAAGAAAGAUGCGGAAUUAAAUUCUCCGUCGGGAUGUAUUUGUUAGCGGUAGAAGUGACUCGAUUCAGCGCACCUUACGAGAGUAGCGGUAGAAGUGACUCGUGUUCAGGGCACCGUAUGAACCCGCCAGUUUGCAUAAAAGGGUAUUUUUUUCACUCCUUUUCGUGAAAUUUUUGUAUUUUUUGAUGGCUCACUACCUUAAGCGCGGCGUCUAGUGAUGCGGAAUUAAAUUCUCCGUCGGGUGAUAUAUGUUUGUUGCAGGAAUUCGCUCUGCAAUCCACGAAAAUUGGCAUUAAAAUUGAUUAUUUCACUCUUUUUUUCUGUAAAUUGCAAUUGUUAGCACUUUUAGUCGCGUUUUUCUAUCAUUUACCUCAUUAAAUUAAAUUAUUUAAGAUAUCCAUCUGAUAGAGAAUUUUUCAAUCUUCCAUAAUCUGCAAUUUGUUGGUUACUACCUCUUUUAGUUUGGAAGAUGUUCGCUAUUGAAAAUAAUCGAUAAAAAUUAUCAAGGGGGGGGUCUUGACAAUUUUUUUAAUGGGAAUUCAAAUUUUGUCUCUUAAAUUGCUAAUUUAACCAGCUUAUUUUAUAGAGAAUUGCCGGUAGAUUAAGACGCUGCGAUUCGAUCCUAAUUAGGUUUUUUUUAGUUACGUGACUAAGGAAUACAUGCCGACGGACCGCAGAUUGUUACUUUCUUGAUAAUAUUUGUGCGUUACGUUAAAAUGAAAUAUCUUGCAUUCUCAAAUACUGUGUGCCUUAAAAUUCCUGAUUAUCACGUUAUCAAUUAUUAUUUAUUAAAUUCGAAUUAAUUUUUG